CAAGGAUCUCACUUCCGAUAAGAAAUUGCUCAUAGGUCAAGCUAUGCACACGAUCAUCAUCUUGAUAGUGAAGGAAUAGGUGCCGGCAAACAGGGAGGCCUUUUUGGGAAGCUUCCUGUGAAAAUUCAUUGAGGUUCAGAAUGUGGCUAAUAUGAAACUUACUUCAUGUGUUCGGAAGAUGGUGGUGAAGGCAUUUAAUUCCAUCCAUCGGAGGAGCAGCUCUUCGCUUCUUGUGUACUUAAAAAACGUAUGAUUAGUGGCAGACCUGAAUAGAGGCAAGCAUCCACUGGCAGGCCUUCACCAAAAUCAGCCAUCCAUCCUCUGACUCCAUCAUCCACCAUUUCUUUCAACACCUGCUUGAACCAACCUGCAGUAUGCGGAUGUGUCAAGUCCAACAUUCCCACAUCAAAAGCUGUGUUGGGCACCAUGUACGGUUGACCAUAUUUGUCUUUCACUAAGAUGCCCAAGUUCUUUGCCUCCUCAAAGAGGUGUCUCCUAGUGUUUGGCUUUGUAUCCAUCUGCAUUAGUGAACAGGUUCCUAAACAUUGUCAGGCAUUUACUAUCAGCAAUUAAUCAUAUCAUAUGUGGAGAAGGUUGUGUCAGGUAUCAAUAAUUGCUAUGGAGUUUAUCAGUAGCAGUGAAGAUAAAUACCGGGGCAAGGCAAGGAUUGCAAUAAGUCAUCACUUCGAUAUACUGAGCAUUAAGAUCUUUAAUUAAUUGCUGCCACCCAUAAUAUCUUGUGGUAUCUGUUUCCCAGUUCCACCAAAGCUGUGAACCAAUCAUUGUCUCCCUCUGCCCUACCCAAUCCUACAAAAGUAGUACUUGUUGAGCCAUUGUGUGCAAUAUGGUCUUCAAUAUUGUUUCAGGUUUCAUCACCAUAAUAUCAAAAACAAAAUCUAAUUCAAAUUGUUGGUCUAGUUGGAGAAGUGUGAAUUUAAUCUGCCUUAAAGCAUAAUCCCACUUCUAAUAUGAAUCUUUCAUUAGUUCAGGUGGAUUUUGUACCUGCAACCAGAACGCUGACACUGGGACUCCAUGCCUUUGCAUUUCAUUCCAGAUGCUGCGUACAGUAUCUGUGCCCCCCUGCAUUCCCACCACAGCACCAGAAAUUAUCCACUCUGGAAGUUCUGGAGGCCUUCCUAUACUUUCUGUUAAGUGCUCAAUGAGCUCACAAGAUGCUAUGAUAAGGAAGGGAUGCAUUACAGGGGUGGUCUGUAUUGGUAUUGAAAUGGCUGCAGUGUGUAAAUUACUCAACAUUAUACCUGUAGCUCACCAAAUUGGCUGCAAAGGUAAUAGGUUGGUCUCCUCUCCCAAUUCCUUGUUCUUGAACAAAAAUGGGUACUCGUUUUCCUUUGAAGUCCAGUUGAGAAAAUUGCUCCCCGAAACCGUAAAAUCUCUCAUUUUUUUCACUUGAAUAAGUGAGAAAGAUCCUGUUGAAGUAUUGAGACCCGGCUGUUCUCAUUGUCACUUUUUCCUCUUCUGUAGAUGAAACUGUGACAAUCCCUUUUUUCCUUGAAAGAAGUCUGGACCAUCUGACACGGCAUCGAUUAAUCAUACCAAACUUCUGGGAAAAACUUCUCAGCCAGUAGCUAGCAGAGGUUGAAGCUUCUUUUUCCGAAAGACGUGUGUUCUCAUUUCCAUGGUAACUUUGAAUCUUCUUCUUCCUUUUCCUGACACUGAAAACCUUUCCUCUGAUCAGCAAAAGAGGAAACUGACCAUUUCUUUUGUCAGAAAGUGAUGGAAAGUCAUGAUCUUUGGCUUCCGAAGGCAAAUCUGAUUCAUUUAUGACUCUGAUAUCAUCAAUGGUUUGAUGAUUGCAUAUCAAAUGAACAUCCUUAUCCUUGAUCACAAAUGACCCUCUGCUUUCUACCACCUCUGUUUCAACCGCUGCAGCAGAGAUGAAAACCUCACCAGGAAUGGUGGACCAUGCAUGUCUGGCAGGCUGAGACUUGUGAGAUAUGGAAAGAAAUCCGCCGUUCUUCGCCGACCAGUUGAAUUGAAAAUCAUGGCCAAUACUAUAGAUCUGGUGUGAAGGGAGUGCUUGGAGAUUGAGAGAGAGAGCUCCUUGAAUAAAAGGGAUGGAUUUUGGAGGGGAAGGGAAAGGAUUGUUAAGGUGUUUGUGAUGCUUCUUGGUGAUUUUGAAGGCCAUGAUGCAAUGCAAGCUGAAUCUACUCUCUAUGGUACUAUUUAUAAACCUGCAUCUCUUUUCAUUUCUUGGGGGAGGGUGGGGUAUUUUUGUAAUUUGAUCAACCUAAUAUUAGAUCAAAAGUCAAAACAAUCUUAAAAUCUAACGCUGCUUAAUUUUCUUUUAAUUGUAGUAAUUGUUUCAGGAAUCAGGACAUUAAUUAGGGGCGUUAAGUAGUCUAAUUCUAGAACUUUGUAGGUGAGUUGAGUUGGCGACCCCACCAAAUUCCAUUUUCAAUAUUUGC